CCGCGUGAAGGAUGAAGGCCCUCUGGGUUGUAAACUUCUUUAUAGGGACGAAAAAAGGAAAUUCUUUCCACUUGACGGUACCCUAGGAAUAAGCACCGGCUAACUCCGUAC
rnacentral:rRNA from 1 species